rnacentral:rRNA from 1 species
UACGAGUACCCCAAGCGUUAUCCGGAAUUACUGGGCGUAAAGUGUGCGUAGGCGGUCAUGUUAGUCUUCUGUUAAAUCCAUCGGCUCAACCGGUGAACUCCAGAGGAAACGGCAUGACUGGAGUGUGUAAGAGGUGAGCGGAACUCAUGGUGUAGGGUGAAAUCCGUUGAUAUCAUGGGGAACACCAAAUGCGAAGGCAGCUCACUGGUACAAUUACUGACGCUGAGGCACGAAAGCGUGGGUAGCGAAAUGGGA